UUAUAAGGUAGCCAAUAGCAUUCCCUUCAAGUUUGUAUAGAUAAUGUACGCGUGAUAUUGUUAAAAUUCCGACUUUCUCAAAUUUCCAAAUGUUUGGGUGGAUAAAAAGUAAGCUAUUUACCUGUUUUAUUGGUUUUUCUUUUUACUCGCCUCGGUGGCUCGUGUCCACUUUUUGACCCAUGGAUGUUGCGAAGAAACAUUUGUGAGUCUUUGUGGUUACUUUAGUGUGGGGCAGUUAAACAAUGAGAAAUGACCAGCCUGCUUUGCGCGCACUGUUUGCCUGCGAAUCCAACAUGAGCUCCACCUUUGAAUUUACUAUAUGAGUAAAUUCUUAAACACGUCCG